UGCAAGUCGAACGCGAAAGUGGAGCAAUCCAUGAGUAGAGUGGCAAACGGGUGAGUAACACGUGGGUGACCUGCCUUCGAGUGGGGGAUAACGUUCCGAAAGGGGCGCUAAUACCGCAUGACAUACCGUCGUUGAAGAGACGGACAUUAAAGCCUGGGACCGCAAGGCCAGGCGCUUGAAGAGGGGCCCGCGUCUGAUUAGCUAGUUGGUGGGGUAACGGCUCACCAAGGCAACGAUCAGUAUCCGGCCUGAGAGGGCGGACGGACACACUGGGACUGAGACACGGCCCAGACUCCUACGGGAGGCAGCAGUGGGGAAUUGUUCGCAAUGGGCGCAAGCCUGACGACGCAACGCCGCGUGGAGGAUGAAGAUCUUCGGGUCGUAAACUCCUUUCGAUCGAGACGAACAGCCUUUGGGUUAAUAGCCCGGAGGUCUGACGGUACCGAGAGAAGAAGCCCCGGCUAACUCCGUGCCAGCAGCCGCGGUAAUACGGGGGGGGCAAGCGUUGUUCGGAAUUACUGGGCGUAAAGGGCUCGUAGGUGGCCAACUAAGUCAAACGUGAAAUCCCUCGGCUUAACCGGGGAACUGCGUUUGAUACUGGAUGGCUUGAGUUUGGGAGAGGGAUGCGGAAUUCCAGGUGUAGCGGUGAAAUGCGUAGAUAUCUGGAGGAACACCGGUGGCGAAGGCGGCAUCCUGGACCAAUACUGACGCUGAGGAGCGAAAGCUAGGGGAGCAAACGGGAUUAGAUACCCCGGUAGUCCUAGCCCUAAACGAUGAAUGCUUGGUGUGGCGGGUAUCGAUCCCUGCCGUGCCGAAGCUAACGCAUUAAGCAUUCCGCCUGGGGAGUACGGUCGCAAGGCUG
rnacentral:rRNA from 1 species